GGUGAGGUGGGUGAGUGGCCGAAACCAAUAGUUUGCUAAACUGUCGUACGUGUUAUAGCGUACCGCGGGUUCGAAUCCCGCCUUCACCG
rnacentral:tRNA from 1 species